ensembl:lncRNA
GUGAGUGGGAGGUGGCCGCCCAGACUCCACCGGGGCCACCUUCCCUCCGCCCCCGGCCGCCCAGCUGUGAUGAGCCGAGAAAGAGGAAAAACGGGCGGCGCGUGAGGGGACCAGGAGGGCGGGCAGGCGGGGUGCGCUGCCCAGCAACCGUCGCCUCACUCCACGCGCCCAGGAGGGGCCGCGGGAGUCGAGCCUAGAAGCUGGGGAUGCCCGCGAGGUGAGGGUCCGAGCCCAAGCACCCGAAGGUCAAAAGGCUGCGCGGCCCCAAGCGGCGGCCAGGCCUGAGUGUUUGGGUGGCUCGCGGUGAUCCCGCCCCCACCUCCUCGCGCCUCCCUACAGAUUGGCUCCCGCCUGCGUUGCCCCGCCUUCCCGGGCCUAGGCCUACCCUCCCGACUCCGCCUUGCUAAGGUACGGCGGUGUGGUAGGUGCUGCCACCCUUGGACUCGGUGAUGGACAGGUCGGUGCCUCCACCCUCCCGGCCAUAGCGCGUCCCCUCCUCCACAGAGGGGCCCAAGCGGAUUGGAGAGAAGGAGCCCCUGGGGGCGCCAAUCAGAAGGCGACCCCUCCUCCCCCACGUGGCCUGCAGAAGCCGGGGAAGAGCGAUCUCUUUCACCUUUUCCUGACUGGGCUUUGACCAUCAAGGGACAGGAGCCAAUCAUGCAGGAUUAGAAGCAUACACUAUGAAGUAGGAAUAAGCAAGAAAACAGUGCAGUAAGAAGUACUGGUCAGACGAAAGACACCGAAUCACCCCGGUGCAGACAGGCAGCCACCUGGUUCCACACUACAAAGACGCAGAGGACACCAGACCACCAGACCAAGGUUCUAAAUUGCCCAGGCUGGCCUUGAAACUGCAAUCAUCCUGCCUCAGCUGGAUGGAUAGCUGGGAUUAUAGGCAUACACCACUAUGCCCACCGAAAGUCCAAGUCUUCACAAUGGCCUAGGCUGUCAGAGCUUUUGCUAAGAGGGAACACACAACCAUACUGCUGCAAGUGAAAUCUGCAGUCUGCACUAUUGGAUUGGUUUUGCACGUGGUCUGUUACUAUGUUCAAAGCAUUAAAGAAUCUGCAAGUGGAUUAUCUACAGAGCUUCUCUCUUCACAGAGCUGCAGUUCGGCCUCUUCACUUUCUCUCUCUUGCUUCUCACGAAGACCCUUUGUUUGCUGCCAGCAUCUGCCUACACUGGGUACUAACUUGACCUGGCAUGAUUCUCCCUAUCCCUAGAAGAAACAGCCCACACCUACAUGCCAGGAUGAACUAAGAUUGCUGAGCAAAGCUAGCAACCUUUCUCUGAAGUGGUGUCACAUGCAGACAGAAAAAU